rnacentral:rRNA from 1 species
UACGGAGGGUGCAAGCGUUAUCCGGAUUUACUGGGUUUAAAGGGUGCGUAGGCGGGCCCUUAAGUCAGUGGUGAAAGCUCCCGAGCUUAACUCGGAAACUGCCAUUGAUACUAUAGGUCUUGAAUUCGGUCGAGGUUGGCGGAAUGUGUCGUGUAGCGGUGAAAUGCGUAGAUAUCUGGAGGAACACCCGUGGUGCAGACGGCUUGCUGGACCGUGACUGACGCUGAGGCACGAAAGCGUGGGUAGCAAACAGG